UGGGCAUGGAACCAUGUCAAGCUCAAUUGCUUAUCUAAAUGCAUCUCAAACAAAAGAUAAUGAUUCAAUUGAUGAUAUAUUAGAAAGUCCUUUAUAAUUAUCAUCCUGUUUUGGCCAAAGUCUUUCAGAAUCAUCAACCUAUGAGAUCACAUAGGAUGUUCGCUCCCCUUAUUAAGAGUGACUGAUCGCUUAUUGAUCACUCAUGAUCUCUAUGUACA
rnacentral:lncRNA from 1 species